AAGAGAGAAUCUGCAAAGCAGAUAUUGCUAAUUUACAAUGCACAAAAGCAGCCGGACAGAAAGAAGUGGGACCAAGAGAAGAAAAGCAGAUCAAUAUGAUUCAGAUGAUGCUCAGUAUAUAGGAAAAUAUUAGUGUGAUAGUGCCUGUUCCAUUAGUGUAACCAGCAGGAAGUAACGAUGAAUGAGAUACUCCUGACUAAUGACACUGUUAACUUCACAUUCAUUCAUGUUAUGUAAUGAGUGUGUGAACUUUGUCAUCAAUCGAUGACACUUAUUUUAACAAUUGUCAAAAGAAGACACUGCUGGUUCAGGUGGGUGGAGAAACAGGAGUAAAAUGUCUCCUUCAUCAGACUUUUCUGACAAAGGCAAAGUACCACCUGUCACCAUACACAGCUGCUACAAAAGAAAUUAGUCGAGGAUGAGUGGUGAGAUCUAGUGUCUCCUAGACUGCUUUCUCAUUGAGUUAAGUAAACUUCGUUCUGAGCAUAAGUGUCAGCUGCAGCAAUGAGACAUUUUUCUGCUGAGGGACAUCUCAAGGUACUGUACACACAGUACAAGUGAUUGCCAGACACUCAGUGAAUCCGCUGGAGUUGUGAGUAGCCGUCCAGUUCAUAAAUGUCAUCUAGUUCUCAGUUGCCGGCAUACGGAAACUGACAGAAUUAACUGGAAGAGAUGGUAAAUUAACUUUAAUUUGUUGACAGGCACAGCUGUGCAUGACCGUAAAAUUUUUAAUUGAAUGAUAAUUCAUUGUGUUCAUGUAUGAAGUAAGAAUAUGCCUAAAAUACAACAAAACUUUUUG